UAGCAGCUCAUAACACCUCUCCACUUCAGUUUCUUUCCCACGCGCAUUAGAAAUUUCACCUUUCCCUUUUCAAUUCUUCCCCAACGCGUUCGGUUUCCUACGAUCACCCCCCAAGAUUUCCCCACCAUCAGCUAUUCCAUUUCCGGCAGUAUCCUCCUCCAUCAUCGCCGCUUCUACUCCGACUAAACCAGUAUCACCUCUGUCACCGGUGUCCCUUCCGAACCCUUUCUCUGCCCUCAUUUCAGGCAACGGGUCCGAUUGAACAUCACCACUGCACCACCCACGACGGUUUGGUCUGGUCGUCGUGAUGCCACCGCCCCACCCUCUCCGCUCUUUCUUUCUGACCCCCCCUGUUCGCUCUCUCCCCCAGUUGUACAAGCAAACGGUGCUGAUCAAGGUGUCCAUGGAUUGCCCCAAGUGCAGGAUAGAAGCCUUGAAGAUUGCAUCUAUCGUUUCAGAUGAUGAAACUGAUCGAAUAGGCGGUGUCUGAUAAUUUUGCUCGUGGAUGAUUUAACUUAAAUGUACUGCAAGAGCCCAGAUUAUUGCUCUGUUUGAAGGAAUUAAUCGAAGUAUG